ACACUGAGCAGCAGGCUCCAUAAACCAGAGGAGACUGUCCUAGUAGUAUGAUUCCGGGUUAUUGAUUUAAGUGUCCUCUAAAAUAUUUCUAUUGCAUUAUGCAUGGUAAUGACAUAUCAUGUGAACAAAGAUUAUUAUGUACGAUAAUGACAUCAUGUGAACAAAGAUUAUUGAACGGGAGAGAGCGAGAGAAAGAAAGAUGGGUGUCACCAGUUUGUUCAAGUCAUCCCUCCUUGUGCACCAUUUAUGGUUGUGAGUGCCAGCACUCCCUGGCUCUUCAGAUGGAUGUCAGCGGGCGGAGCUGUGAGGGUCGUCUGUGAAACGGGCCACAAAUACACCUCUUCUCCCCACCAUACGUUAAGGAGACUCUCCACGCAGAUAUACUGUUUUCUUGGUUGUGGCCUUUUGGGGGAUUCUUUGUUUUGGCACUCACACUGUUACCUGGAUAAAGUUUAUUUAAGAAAUAUAUUUGUUGUUUAUCAUCUCCGCGCUGUCUCCCUCUUUGUUACAGGCUACAAGCCGGUUCAUGACACAUGCCUUAACCCGGGUCACGACCCCCAAGAGACCCUUAGGAACCUUAGUGUAGACAUCCCAGUUACCUGGCAACAGAUCCAGUGUUUGUGGGGGGGGGUCAAGAUAUGUGUGUGUGUCAUACCGCAUCAGAACCCAAAAUAUGAGCCUAUUUUACUCCAAUGUUUGUUUACAUAUAUUUUCUUGACAAACACUGUAUAGCCUCAAAACCUAGUUACAACUAUAAUUUCUUAUAUCAUGGAUGGUCAGUCCUUGCAUCCAUAUCUCUGUGUAUUCAUUUGAGAAUGGUUACAUUUCUCCUGCCCCAUCCCUCACUUUACACAUAAAAUGCCUGAUUGGAUUAAACUACACAAUGAAUGGACAGUUUAGGGGUGCAUUUCAAUAGUCUAAAGAGACUUCAUCACCUCGUCUCCUUUUAAUAUAUUUUAUGAUAACAUCUAACAUGUCAUCCUUCUCUAACCUCCACAACAGCAGGUCCCAGAGCAUCCAUUCCUCCCUUCUCCAGCUCUGUGAGGAUCGUACACAUCAUCUACAGAGAUUAAUGUUACUGUCAAGAGGAAAUAAAUCCUAUCGUCUCAUCUGACUUUCUUCAGAAUUCCUGCCGCUGUGGUAUGCAUCCCCAUAUCCAUGGGCGGACACAGCCGACGUCAUUUGCCAUGUAAAAUAAUCUGCACAAAAACACACUGGCAAAAAAAAAUGAAUGACUAAUUGCAGUGAUGCGACAUUGGAGAUGAGAUUAAGAUGGUUCAAUGUGGGCCCUGUGAGUGUGUGUAUAUUGAUAAAUAAGUUAGAGUAGCCAUUUCCUCUACGGAUGUCCCUGAAAGUUGAAUAUCAUAGGCCCUGGUCUCUACAUAGUGCCACAGCUAAGGAAUACGCCCCACACACACACACACACACACACACACACAGGAGAAUUCAGCCAUUGAGGAAACCCAUAGUAUCCUCAUCAAUUUGAACAAUACCAGACUAUAUCAAAAGUUGAUCGGUUAAUUAAAGCGAGGAAGGGGAACUUAAAAUGGCACAGAGAUCUCCUUCCUAAAGAAGGUUUAUGUCAAAAGGACCACGGAGCAUGUGAGUCAUCAUUGUCCAGUGGUUGACAUUCACUUAGCAGUAACUUCCCAGACAUGUUGUAGGUGUAUGGAACUAUUUUUAUUGGUAGGCCCAGAGCUGUAUGUAAACAUUGGUCUCUGGGUAAGUCUACUGUUCAACGGGUCCUAGAAUGGACCCGGAGCUUCCUGCUACGUGUCAGUGGAAUGGUUCCACUGAGGACAGAUGAGAGGAUGUGGUUGUCUUUUUCCAUUAGGCUGUCCAACUACUUGUAUUACAUUUUAGACAAAGAUAACUAGUCAAAGAAUGUAUUAACACUGAACCAGAAUCAUAUAAACACCAUUGGAGCACAAUCAGGCUAGUCUGAUGUCACAAAAGAAUGUUAGGGAAAGUAUCUACUUUUAGAUGAAGUUUGUGCCUAAUUGUCCAGAGGAGUUCCCCGAAUUUCAUGCAUGUCAAAACUCUCUCCCUGUAAACAGCCACUGCUAAACAAAACGGAGAGAGUUACAAGUGUCCUGCCCAUUAGGAACAAGACUCAGCUGCUGUCUUUGAUUCCCUUCUAGCUCCAGCCUACACAGAGCACACAGAGCACGCAGUUGAGGAACAGACACACAUCUUACAAUCACGUGCAUGUCUAUGCUCCCGUGCUUAUUUUAAAACCACGUGUUGAAUGUUUGUGUUUAAUCAAACGAGGCUGAGGAUUAAGUUUUGGCCUUUGUGAGCGACAGACAACAGCUGCAUGGUUACAAAGCUGGGUUAGUCACGAAGGAGGAUGAAGCAGAACCUCAUAUCCUCAAAGGUCAUAUCCUAUGUUAUUGUACAGGAGGGCCUCAAGUUUAGAGCCAAAGCAGGAACUAAAGUCAUGUGUUUUGAGGACUUCUUCUUGGCAUAAUAACUCUGUCUUCCUCCACUCAAAUGGAAUUAAUGCUUGUCGUUUCACAUUGUAAAUGAUGGAAUCGUUUAAACCAGUUUGGGCAUUAAAUUGAAAUGAAUUAACCAGACAGCAGAAGUCAUUCUGCCUGUGUAUGCCUCAUCUUCAUACAGUAGGCCACCUCUUUACUGCCCAUACCGCCUUACAACAAUACACAUUUAGAUGAAAGGGUUUAAUAGGUCAGGAUAGGCCUAUUAUAGCUGCAGUUUUACAUUUUGCACAAGGUGACAACAGAAACACAGGGCUAGGCUCGACUGCCUAUGCAAUGUGCCUCACAGGAAAUUCAAAAACAACAUAGUUGUUGGCAAAAGUAUCCACUUCGGUGAUGAAACUUUCUAUCACUGUAGGCAGGCUGGUCUCAGACUAGAUGUAACAUAGUAGACGAAAACCCAGGGAGAUGAAAUGAGUAUGAUAUGUUACCAUACCAAUCGUACCAUAAGACUAAAGGUUACUUGGUUGGUCAGGGUGGGCAUAUAACAACAAAAAGAUUCAAACACACAAUCUCAUCAUGGACAACUUCACAAUUUUAGGUCAUUAACAAGUACAUUUUAACUACUUAACAUGUUAGCUAACCCUUCCCCUAACAUAUUGUACAAAUUGCAAUUUGUAACAUGGACAUCCAUUAAUUAAUACAUAACAAACGUAAAAUAAAACUAGAUACACAAACGUAUACGACACCCCUUCAAAUAAGUAGAUUAGGCUAUUUCAGCCACACCCGUUGCUGACAGGUGUGUAAAAAUCAAGCAAAA